UACAAGGGGGGCAAGCGUUGUUCGGAAUUACUGGGCGUAAAGGGCUCGUAGGCGGCCAACUAAGUCCGACGUGAAAUCCCAAGGCUUAACUUUGGAACUGCGUCGGAUACUGGAUGGCUUGAAUUCGGGAGAGGGAUGCAGAAUUCCAGGUGUAGCGGUGAAAUGCGUAGAUAUCUGGAGGAACACCGGUGGCGAAGGCGGCAUCCUGGACCGGUAUUGACGCUGAGGCGCGAAAGCUAGGGGAGCAAACGGG
rnacentral:rRNA from 1 species